UUCGGGGUGAGCGGCGGACGGGUGAGUAACGCGUGGGAAUAUGCCCUUCUCUAAGGAAUAGCCUCUGGAAACGGAGAGUAAUACCUUAUACGCCCUUUGGGGGAAAGAUUUAUCGGAGAAGGAUUAGCCCGCGUUAGAUUAGGUAGUUGGUGGGGUAAUGGCCUACCAAGCCUACGAUCUAUAGCUGGUUUGAGAGGAUGAUCAGCCACACUGGGACUGAGACACGGCCCAGACUCCUACGGGAGGCAGCAGUAGGGAAUCUUAGACAAUGGGGGCAACCCUGAUCUAGCCAUGCCGCGUGUGUGAUGAAGGCCCUAGGGUCGUAAAGCACUUUCGCCAGAGAUGAUAAUGACAGUAUCUGGUAAAGAAACCCCGGCUAACUCCGUGCCAGCAGCCGCGGUAAUACGGAGGGGGUUAGCGUUGUUCGGAAUUACUGGGCGUAAAGCGCACGUAGGCGGAUUAGUAAGUUAGAGGUGAAAUCCCAGGGCUCAACCCUGGAACUGCCUUUAAUACUGCUAGUCUUGAGUUCGAGAGAGGUAAGUGGAAUUCCGAGUGUAGAGGUGAAAUUCGUAGAUAUUCGGAGGAACACCAGUGGCGAAGGCGGCUUACUGGCUCGAUACUGACGCUGAGGUGCGAAAGUGUGGGGAGCAAACAGGAUUAGAUACCCUGGUAGUCCACACCGUAAACGAUGAAUGCCAGAC
rnacentral:rRNA from 1 species